AAGCCAUUCAUCGAGUAGCCUCUUAAACCAA
rnacentral:piRNA from 1 species